rnacentral:rRNA from 1 species
CAUGCAAGUCGAGCGGCAGCACGGGUACUUGUACCUGGUGGCGAGCGGCGGACGGGUGAGUAAUGCCUAGGAAUCUGCCUGGUAGUGGGGGAUAACGUUCGGAAACGAACGCUAAUACCGCAUACGUCCUACGGGAGAAAGCAGGGGACCUUCGGGCCUUGCGCUAUCAGAUGAGCCUAGGUCGGAUUAGCUAGUUGGUGAGGUAAUGGCUCACCAAGGCGACGAUCCGUAACUGGUCUGAGAGGAUGAUCAGUCACACUGGAACUGAGACACGGUCCAGACUCCUACGGGAGGCAGCAGUGGGGAAUAUUGGACAAUGGGCGAAAGCCUGAUCCAGCCACGCCGCGUGUGUGAAGAAGGUCUUCGGAUUGUAAAGCACUUUAAGUUGGGAGGAAGGGCAUUUACCUAAUACGUAAGUGUUUUGACGUUACCGACAGAAUAAGCACCGGCUAACUCUGUGCCAGCAGCCGCGGUAAUACAGAGGGUGCAAGCGUUAAUCGGAAUUACUGGGCGUAAAGCGCGCGUAGGUGGUUCGUUAAGUUGGAUGUGAAAUCCCCGGGCUCAACCUGGGAACUGCAUCCAAAACUGGCGAGCUAGAGUAUGGUAGAGGGUGGUGGAAUUUCCUGUGUAGCGGUGAAAUGCGUAGAUAUAGGAAGGAACACCAGUGGCGAAAGCGACCACCUGGACUGAUACUGACACUGA